rnacentral:rRNA from 1 species
CGGCUUCCUACGGGAGGCAGCAGUGGGGAAUCUUGCGCAAUGGGGGAAACCCUGACGCUGCGACGCCGCGUGGAGGAUGAAGGCCUUCGGGUUGUAAACUCCUUUUCUCAGGGAAAAUGGUGAUGGUACCUAAGGAAUAAGCCACGGCUAACUCUGUGCCAGCAGCCGCGGUAAGACAGAGGUGGCGAGCGUUGUUCGGAAUCACUGGGCUUAAAGGGCGAGUAGGCGUCCUGACAAGUCAGGUGUGGAAUCUUUUCGCUUAACGAAAAAAUUGCAUUUGAAACUGUCGGGAUUGAGUCAGUGAGGGGAGGGCGGAAUUCCCGGUGUAGCGGUGAAAUGCGUAGAUAUCGGGAGGAAGGCCGGUGGCGAAGGCGGCCCUCUGGCACUGAACUGACGCUGAGGCGCGAAAGCGUGGGGAGCAAACAGGAUUAGAUACCCCAGUAGUCCAAGC